rnacentral:rRNA from 1 species
CGUAGGGGGCUAGCGUUGUCCGGAAUCAUUGGGCGUAAAGCGCGCGUAGGCGGCCCGGUAAGUCCGCUCUGAAAGUCCAGGGCUCAACCCUGGAAAGCGGGUGGAUACUGCCGGGCUAGAAUCCGGAAGAGGCGAGUGGAAUUCCUGGUGUAGCGGUGGAAUGCGCAGAUAUCAGGAGGAACACCAAUAGCGAAGGCAGCUCGCUGGGACGGUAUUGACGCUAAGGCGCGAAAGCGUGGGGAGCAAACAGGAUUAGAUACCCUGGUAGUCCACGCCGUAAACGAUGGGCACUAGGUGUGGGAGGUGUCGACUCCUCCCGUGCCGACGCUAACGCAUUAAGUGCCCCGCCUGGGGAGUACGGCCGCAAGGCUA